rnacentral:rRNA from 1 species
AUCAGUUUGGUUUGCUUGCAAACCAAAGCUGGCGACCGGCGCACGGGUGAGUAACGCGUAUCCAACCUUCCGUACACUCAGGGAUAGCCUUUCGAAAGAAAGAUUAAUACCUGAUGGUAUGAUGAGAUUGCAUGAUAGCAUCAUUAAAGGUAUUCCGGUAGACGAUGGGGAUGCGUUCCAUUAGAUAGUAGGCGGGGUAACGGCCCACCUAGUCUUCGAUGGAUAGGGGUUCUGAGAGGAAGGUCCCCACAUUGGAACUGAGACACGGUCCAAACUCC